CAGAUUCAGUUCUUCCAUCUGCCAACAUCUGAGAACCCCGGUGGGGGGGGGGGUUGGCGCCCCGCUUGGCUUCCCAGCCUGGGUGUGCCCUCCCGCCGGCAGGCAGGGGGUGCCCGCCUCCCCAGUAGCGACUUGUCCUUCUCUGCCCCCUCCGGCUGCUACUUUUCCUUUUACUCAGGUGGAAAGGGGGCCGACCCGGGGCUGACAACAUCGGGGAAAGAAGCCACACGCCAUCUGUGGAAAGCUCUGUUCCAGGAUUCUGCUAAGAGCUCUCGCUGUCAGACAGACCCCAUCUGGGUUUCCAGAAUCCUUAUUAUCUCCGCUUUUAGAAAACGGGGGUCCUCACCCAUCUUCAGGCUCCACGCCCUAUCCAGCGGCUUCUUCUGGGACCUUCUUACCGCCUCCUGGGGGGCCGUGAAUUCAAUUCUCUCUUCAGAGCACAUCUUCCUCCUGCGGGAUUUGAAAGAACGUUCGUCCUCGGUGGUAAAGGCAGAGCUGAACCGAAGGUGACUGAUGCUGAGUUCCUCCUGCUGUCGGACCACACGACCCAUCCCCUCCCACAGGAGAUCCGCCUCUGACGUCUCGCUUUUGUCUCUGAAUUUCUUUCAUUAUAUUUCUUGUAAAAUUCA